CACACACACAUCCGCACACGCACACACACACACGCACACGCACACGCACACACACAUACGCACACACACACGCACAUACGCACACACACACACAUACGCACACACACACGCACAUACGCACACACACACACACACACACACACACACACACACAUGCACACACGCACAUACGCACACACACACACACACACACACACACACACACGCACACACACACACAUAAUCUUUAAGAUAAUAUUUAACUUCUGGGUUCUUGUGUAGUCAGCUAUCCUACACUGUUAUCAUUCGUCUGAUCGAUCUGCCCGUCGGGAUUGGCGUGUUUAUGGGCUGUAUUGUGGGAGAUGAAAGCGGCCGUGUGUUAUAAAGUCUGCUCCAGCGACUUCACUUCUCUCAAAGCCGGGAACUUCUCUGCACAGGAAUCAAAUCAGAUUAACCUGAAUAAUGGGUGCCCGGGUUUCAGUCAAGAAUCAGACUCCUUAUACCUGGCACUUUGCCACCCAGGACAAAGGGUUUACACGCGUCGAUCCUUUCAGCGAAACAUCCUACGAGGAGGCCAGGUUAAUCCAUCGCUACAUCUACAUCAGAUAUAAAGAUCACUCAUGGAAUAGCUUUAGGUACGAGUUUAACACCCAUAAAGGUGACACCUCGUUUAUCUUAAGGGAAACUUACAACCGUUCCCAGAUUCAGCUGCACUGCACCUCCGAGGGCGGCACUCAUUACUGUCCCAAUUACGGAAAAAUUGAAGAAGAUGAAAGACUGAAAAAGCAAGCGGAGGAGAGAGAACAUCUGGAACGUUUGGAACGUGAGAGAAGGAUCCAGGAGGAGCUGAACAGAGAGAGCGAAUCAUCCAGACACAAGCUUUCUCAAGCAACUCAGCGGCUUCGCGAGAAACAGCGCUUCAGAGGUCAGGAACAGCAUCAUGAACGUACACAAGUUCUCCAACAGCAGAUAGAAGACGACGCUGCUGCGAUCGAGAGGGACGAGGUUAUUGAUGUUGAAGAAAAAUUCAAAGCGCUUUUGUUAAAGUACCAGAUCACAGAAGAUGAAGAGAUACAGCACUACAAGAUCUGGGGCAGGAUUAAGACGCUCCAGAAUGAAAUCGCAGUCCAAUAUUGUAGAGAAAACGGCCUUUCAGUAUGGUCUCAGUUCACCUUCGAUCACGCCGUAGGGUAUAACGAACUGUCUCUUACUGAGAAGCUCACAGUUCUUGAGGCAUCUCUACAGUUCAUUCUGUACAGUAGCAGUGAAGACGCUGAAGAUGAUGGAAAUGAGCUGCUCGGCUGGGAGAAGAAGUACGACUUCCUCUUGGGAUUGAUGGAGCAGCUUCAUGCCACAAACCCGACUUUGGCUGAACGCAUUUUAUUAAACGUACUCGACACGAUUUCAGACCUGUCACCACAAGGUAAGGACAUUUUGGGUCAAAUGUUGUUCAACAGAAUCUGGACACCAACGGAAAUAAUGCUGUUCAUUAUCAAAAGUCCAGCUAUCAAGUAUGAUCAACUCGAUUCAGUUCUCCACACCGCGCAAACCUACCACCUGGACUGCAUCCUCGUGGUCUCUGCUCUUAGCAAUGAAAACCCUUUAAUGUUUCUUAAAGAGCAAGUAAAAUACAUCCCGGAGAAAGAUGCUGAGAUGAUCGUGAAGGAACUUCGUGAAGCAAACUGCCCAGAGAAAGUCUUGGUGCCGUUGAAGGAUGUGCUUAGAUACCUGGAGUCGGAACUCCCAAAAUGUGAAUCGAAGGAACUUACCGAGAUCGAUGAUUUGAAAAGAAAGAUAAGAUCUCUUAAACUUACGGACCCAGAUAUCAACGUUCUGAAAGACGUAUUAACUGGAAUGUCAUUAGCCGUGCGAGACUGCACCAAAACCACCAGAGCAGGCUAUUUUCCAAGACGUACACAACUAGCAUCGUUGCUUUUGCUCCUCCUGGCACAGCUGACGCAAAAUAAAGGAUCUCUUCUUGAGAUUGGCACAGGUGAAGGCAAGUCCUGUAUCUUAGCCAUGUUUGCGACAAUUAUGGCUAUUCGUGAAACAAAAGUGGACAUUGUGACCAGCUCUCCGCUUCUCGCCCGGCGAGACCAAGAAGAGUGGUGUAAACUGUUUCAAAUGUUUGGUGUCACCUCAUCUGUAGUACCUCCAGCUUUCUCAGGUGCCUUUUCACCUGAGAAACAUGAGGAAGAUCUUAAAAAUGCUUACCGACAACAAAUAGUAUAUGGCACAGUGGGAGUGUUUGCAGCAGACACACUUAAACAGGAAUUCGAGAAGAGGAUUACCCGUAAUGACAGGAACUUUGAGCUUGUAAUAGUGGAUGAAGUGGACUACAUGACCUUGGACAAUGGAGUUCAAGUGACGUUCUUGUCCCAUGAAUCUAGUGGAUUUAGGCAUGUGGAGCAAGUGCUUUCCAGCAUAUGGGCCAUGAUAUCUGCAUGUCAACCAAUUGAAAUGUUUGAAACAGGUGAGAUCAAAUGGGCAGCGAGGAUACAGUACUUCCACAAAGCUGUAACAGCAGCCGUUAUGGGACUGGAAACAGAAAGCUUCUCAGCAAACGAGAUCUUGUUGCCUGGAGUGACUUUGGGGUUCUACACCCAGGAGGACAUCGAAAUGAUACGUCAAGCCGAGAGCAAGAAAGAGAAUGAAAGCGAUGGUGAUGGGAAUGAGGAUGGAAUGUCCAAAGCAUUAUCUGAAGUCAUGAAGAAACUUGGAGUUUCACAACAGUACGAUCUGCUGAGCAUAUUUGAGGAGGUCUUGGAGAGCAGCGCCGUGUUUAAGUGCUAUGCUUUAGAGAAGAAGAAAGCCAAAAGUUUCCACGCUCGGGAAAAACAAGGUGACCUUAAUGUUGAAAUGCUCCUGCUGGACGGAGGACUGGCGUGUGAAAUCCUGUCUGAGAAAUCGCUGAUCGACGCGACUGUAAAGACAAUAAAUUCGUCUAUCAAGUACUCGGAUCACCUCCAAACGGCCGAAGAAUCCGACCCCUUCAUCGUCGUCCCUUUUUUCUUGAAGAGCUAUGUUGAGAAUCAGUUGGAGGUUUUUGUCCGGAACGCACUAAGGGCUGUUGAGAUGUCGCAGGGCCGAGAAUACAUGAUCGACGCCUCGCCGGCCGCUGGACAGGAAACUGACAGACACGAGUGUAACGCCGUCAUUCCAGUGGACUUCAAAGCGAGUGGAGUGCUGGAGAAAAACAAGAAGUGGGGUAACGGACUGCAGCAGUUUUUGGAGUUCAAGCACCAACUUGCGAUUUCACCGAUAUCCAACGUCACAAACUACAUGUCAAAUUUCCAUUACUUUAAAAGGUACCUCAGCAGGAAUGGUAUAUUUGGUGUUUCAGGUACAUUAGGAGGGAAGGCAGAUCAGGACUUUCUGGCAAAAUAUUAUGAAGCGAAGAGUUACACCGUACCUGCACAUCGCCAUAAGCGUGUGGUCGAGCUUCCAGUCAUCCAGGUGAAAGGUGGGACUCACCAGUGGAUCCAGACUAUUUGUGAGACCUCAUGGAAAGUAGCAGAGAGAGGACAAGUCGUCUUGGUGAUUUGUGAGGACGUUAAAACGGCAGAUGAACUCCACGUGAAAAUACAAGAUGGCGGCAGAUUUAAAGCAGACCAGAUUACUAUGUACACCAUCAGCGAGAAGCAUGACAUUGAAAAACAGACCUUCUGUGCAGGCAGAGUCAUCAUUGCUACGAAUCUCGCAGGACGGGGGACAGACAUAAAGGUUGAUGAAAACGUGAAUAAUUGUGGCGGUCUUUUCAUUCUUCUUACUCACUUUCCACACAACCGAAGAGUGGAGAAACAAAUAUUCGGUCGUACGUCUCGGAAAGGCAAUCCAGGGAUGGUCCAGAUGGUUGUGAACUGUGAUCAUCUCGCACCUGCUUACCAAGGUCAGUCUGUGGAAAUCAUGCGUCAGUUAAGAGAGGAUUAUGAAAUUAAACGAAUCCACGACAUGGAAAGUGACGAGCUGGUUGAAAUAAACCUGAAGGAAGAUCUGUUUUCCACAUUUUGUACAUUGUUGAAGAACUUUGAUGGGCAUUACACACCGAACGAAAAACUGGACCCCAUGCAAAUGCGGCUCAGUAAAAUUCCUGAUUGCUUCACACAUCAUCAGCAUAAGUUUGAUUAUCAGCCUGCCGUCAACGCUAUGAAAGAAUCUUGGGCCUUGUGGUUGACCCUUCAUGAGGAGCACAUCAACAGGCAUGAUGACUUCAGACAACUUGAAGCAGACCUUAUCAGGACGACGGACGAGACAAGCAGAAAGCUGCUGCGAGGAGAAAGCGAUCAUUUCUACGAUCACGUCAGACAGGCCAUCGUAAGAACUGAUCUGUACUGCCGAAACAAAUCCAGAGAUGACUUUGGAGUCAAAUCCUAUUGGCAGAAAGUUGCAAGCUUUGACCCACACUACAAGGCUGUGGCCCUCUACAACCAGGCGUACAUCACCAUCAACCUCGGCGGGGACAACUAUAAAGCCGACGCUAUGAACCUGCUGGAAGACGCAAAGAAAUCCGUUGAUGUCUAUGUCUCAGAAGUCUCAAACACUAUGGUCUCGUGUAACAUCUCAGUCACUGGGAACGUUGAGCACCGCACAGAAAACAACAACUUCCAGAGUCAAAUGGAGGCCAGAAUGAACAUCUUUAAGUCGUGGAGGACGUACAUCGAUAACGCGUUGACUAAACUUCGAGAGCUGGAGAAAAGCAACAGCGACGCCAUUACGGAGGACUGUUCUGUCUACAUGUUGUCCGCAGAAAAGAACUUCAUCGUCACGAACGAGCUGAGAUCUUUAUACGACUACGGCCUCGGUGUUGUUUUCGAGGUGAAAAAAAAGCCCAAGUUUUGCUUGGAUGCUUUGAUCUGUUUCAUACUCGGGGUGGUGCAGGUGAUCGCUGGGAUCCUAGUCUGUGCGCUGACACUUGGGACAGCCAGCCAGUUUGGAAUGGGUCUGAUUUCAGAAGGGGUGUCGGACAUGAUCAGUGGAAUCGAGGGGAUGAUAAAGGGCACCUUCGAUUGGGUGUCAUGGGCAAUCUCGAAGAGUAUCAGCAUAGGGCUCGCUUUGCUAACGGCCGGGUUUAGCGUUAUCAAGAAAGCGGUGACCGCAGUGUUUAAAGUGACAAAAAGUCUCCUCAACGGUACCAAGUCCUUCUCUUCUGUUGCGUCGGAAUUCAUCAAAUCAGGAAAGGCGACGUUUAUGUCAUUCAAAGGAAGCGUUCAGUCUGGUGUAUCAUCCCUCACUCAGACAUCUUUUAAGUCUACACUGAAAAACAUGGCAUCUUCUACAGCGCUCAGACAGAACUUCAAACAUGCCACGAAAUACGCGGUUCAGGAACUCGGGAAACAGUCUGUGGUCACUGCCAUGAACUACGCCAUCGACAAAGCGCUUCAGGAAGUUCUUGGGAACAUUUUACGAAGAAGUUUUAAGGACAUGGUUACUUCAUCGGUGAAGGGGAACAGUAAACUGGAUCUGAGUCUUGCCGAGUUCAUCAGCUCAGGUGUUCCGAAAGCUGCCUUGGAAAAGGUGAAUUUCAAGAUUGACCAUAAAUAUGAGACGCAAACACGAGAAUCGGUCGCUGUGCUCUGCGAAGAUAUCGCUCCUCACCUCAUAGUGGACUGUACCACAGCACAAGAGGUUAUCAGCAAACUCUCCGAGGUGUGUAACGCAGCAGCAGAGAUUAUGGUUAAGGAGAAGGCGAAAGGUGUGUUUGAAAUGGCAAAGCUGGUUCUGAAAGUAGCUGAGUACUCGACACGUCUCGCUCAAAUAUUGGAGGCCGUACCGACAAAGAAGAUAAUAGACCAGAAAUUUGUUCCUGAAUUUCUAGAGAGCAUCAGUGAGCUUCAGAAAGGCAUGACGGAAUAUGACCAGGACGGACGACACAAUCUACACGAUGUACAACGCCUUAAAAAGAACUGCUACAGAUUAUCGCUGAGAAAGUUUCUGAGCAAUUCGUCAGUUCCUGUUCCGAACAUAUAGCGUCUUUAAUGACCGGCACAUUUAAGAGUCAGUUGAGCAGUGCCGUUGGACAGGCGGUAGACCGCGUCAUGAGCAGGCAACCGACUCAACGUUUCUUCCAUGACCAGAGGCAAAAACACAACGAGAAGACUGCGAGCCACAGGGAACCGGAACAGCCGUCGGACGUGGACAUGACACGGCUGAGGCGGUACGUGGAAGAUGUGAGCCGAGCCGAUCAGCCCGCUACAGCCCUCGAUGUGUACGUGCUCACGAAAAGUAAUCUGCUCCAUGGAAAAGGAAUUCAACUCGCUGUCGUCGAUGAGAACGGAAAACCGCUCACUGAGGAACGUUACCCAGGAACCAGCAAAUCCGCAGGUGAUAUAAAACUGAGAUUAACCAAAUCUGCGAAUGCCCCGCAUCCAUCACAAGCUGCUGCACAGCUGUACAGCGGCCAUUUUGACGUCGUACAAGAUGACGGCAGGAUAAUCAGCGUGGACUCGGACCGUCCGAAUGCUCUUUAUCACGCACUCGCCCGAGCAAUGGGCGGCGAGACAGAAGACCCAAAGAAAGAAGCUUUGAUGCUACGUGAGAAAGUGAUAAAGGAGAUCCAGACGAACCUCGACUCGUACGCACCCGUGCUUAACCUCCAGAGAGGAUAUGACUUCGCUCAGAGGAACCCUGGGAAAUACGGCGUACCUGGUGGAGGUAAAAGGGAGACCGACGCUGCGCUGCAGGAAUACUUACAGAGCGUUAAAUUCGUCAGAAGUGACGAACGCAUCCUCAUCAAAAUGUACCACCUCGGAUUUGUCGGUGAAAAUCACCGUGUUCUAACUGCUCGGAGGUCCGCUAACAACACCACUGGGACGCUCAAAACGAGCCACAUUCCACCCAAGGACUCCAUCAGACAAGCUCAGGCGUUCAUGGAAAGCUCAAACUCGAGUUCACACGUGAGCGAGUUUAAAAAGAAAAACCUGCAGCUUUAUAAUCUGAUCAGCAGCAUAAAGACUGACAGUGACGGACAGAACCUGAUUGCCAUGGAGGUUCUGGGACAGGAUCACAGACGAGCUUUAACUACGGGCCCAAGCAGGAUCUCCCAGAUGGCCAGGAAUCUUCUAGCAGACACUACGAUCAGUGGAGACGUAGAGCUUCUGCUGAAACGCUGCAUGAUCCUACACCACCCACUGACCUCAGAAAAGCUCAGAGUCGCUCUAGGUGAAGGCGUUCUGUCUCAGAGUCACGUGUUGUCCGAUGACGGUAUCCGAGGCUACUACAAAGCAGGAUACAGAAACCUGGUGUCGGAGUACAGCCGCAUGGGAAUCCUGGAUCAGAACCAGCGCGCGCGCCUGGACGAGUGGGUGACUCAGGACCGGCACGAGGACACUAACACUGCGGAGUACCGCCAGCUUCAGCAGGGAUUACGCGAAAAAGCAGACGGAGAACGUGUCUAGUGUUAAUGAGCACCUCAUGAUGAUGAUGAUGAUGAUGAUGAUGAUGAUGAUGAUGGUUAUAGGAAGUAGGAAAUGAUUGAUCUCGGCCUCUGAAAUCGUUUUCACUGCAAACAAUCACAUUUUAGCAAGAUAUCUUGUUCUGUUGGUAGAUCAUUUUAAGCACUUAUAUCUAUGAAAGAGCGAUAGAACAAGAGCAUUUAAAACGCAAAAACAAGUAAAAAGUGUCUAGAAAUGACAUUUUCAAUAAAAAUUUGCUUACAUUAUAUACAUUAUAUACAUAAUACAGAACUGCAAUGUGGUAAAUGACUUUUUUGUGAUUUUAUUUGUAGUUAAAUCAGUACGCUUGACAAUAAUGUUCUAACGUGUGUGUUUAGUGUUUAAAAGUGAGGGGGGGGGGGGUCAGUGUAUUAAAGGGUUAUUACACAAAGCAGGAAAGCAGGAACUGAAUUACAGACAUAAGAACGAUGUCGGGCUGUGAUUAAAGUUCAUAUAUAUAACAGGAACACGCCGAUAUUUCAGGCUUCUCUCUGAUUAAAAGGUAAAAUACACACUGUAAAAUCAUUUUGCUUAAAACUGGGUGCUAAUUUAUAAUCACAUAAGUCUAAAAUGAGGGAACUUUACGAUAAGAGUGGACGUUUUACACAGAUAUAUUGUCAAAUGUUUUGUUAUUAAUCUGAUUUACAGCGGUAACUGAUCUCAUUUCAUGGAAAUUGUGCCAAUAAAAUUUGACUAGUUUACUUUUGGUGCUCGUUUUAUUUCUUAAAAAUGAGAUGUAAAAACUAAGACAAACUGUCUGGACCAAUCAAAGGGCUGGAUAGGUUUGGACACACCCACUCAUUAUCAUAGGGGAUAAAUGACCAAACAUAGUGGAAUUGAUGAAAUGGACGGAGUAUAAUCAACAUUUGUAUUCUGUUAUAAAUUUA
ensembl:lncRNA